CUGGAUUGUACACGUCAGCAGUCAAUAAAAUUGUACCCAAGAUGUAUCAUGGUCCCAUCAUCCUCUUCCUGGUAUGAGCGUGUUGACACAUUGCACCUAGUUUGGGUGGCCAAUACAAGAGGUUGAAGCGACUGUUGUGGCAAAUAGCACGCUUUUCAAGCGGAAAGACGGUCCUGCGCGAGGAAAGGCAGCCAUCAGCAAACGUUUGACAUUUGGGUUAAAGUCGCGCGACGUUGGACUUGUUCAUUCAAGUUGGGAGUUAGGAGGAAACAGCGUUGCAAACGAAGUUUACAAUGACGGCGAAUGCGAUAAGGUGGAAAGUGACCUUUUGGAGUCUUGUUCAAGAUCCUUUUGUUCUGCAAACAUCAGGGGGAUCUGUGAUUCGGCAUUCCUAUAUUUGCACCUUCUCUGUUAAAAUUUAUUUUGGGAUAUUACAUCCAAAUGAAAACGGAAUGAAUUGUUUUGGGGUUUUAUAAAAAAUGUGUUGUUCCUUUUUUCUGGCAUUCACUAAUAAUCCAACUAUAGCUGAAGUUGUGUUAUUUAAUUUGAAUUAGUUAUCAACACAAGCAUAUUGAUGCGAUUAUUGCCUUUUUUUAAAGCUGACCAAAAGUGCCUUGAUUGUUAUUUGUACCAUUUUUAAAAGAGAUUUUUAAAGGUGCACUGAUAACAUUGUUGUUGACAAAGUACAAAUGCGUUUGUAAGUGCUGGGGACUUGUAUAUAUUUUAUGUCUUUCUUCAUGAGAUGUUGAGGGGAAAAUGGAAUGUGAACGUCAAUUUCACAAAAAUCUUCAUUGUACAAUUAGGGGGAAAUAAUUGCAUUGCUCUGGCAUCUUGUAACGGGUGACAGCGGUUCCAGAUAGGUUCAAUCUGAUAUUAGUUCACCUCAGUGUGCCUUAUGGAGAUUCCUGGUGAAAUAAUAUGAAAUUAAUGUGAUAAUGAAACAAACAAUCUUUAUUUGUUGAAAAGCACAAUUUGUUUUAAGUAACAUGGCAAAGAUGGCCUAAUAAAUAAAGUACUUUGUAAAAAUGACUUCACUGAAGUGUGUGUGUGUGUGUGUGUGUGUGUAUGCAGGAUGUUUGAUUCCUUAGUGGGUAGAUAAUAAGACCAACUUUUUGGUUUUCUUUCUGAUAAUCACUUGAAAUAGCUGUUCAUUGUUCACCUAUUGUCUGCCAAAUGGAAACAAUAAAAGGCUGAACUUUCCUUGUUUGUCUCACACAUUUU
rnacentral:lncRNA from 1 species